rnacentral:rRNA from 1 species
UACGUAGGGCGCGAGCGUUGUCCGGAUUCAUUGGGCGUAAAGAGCGUGUAGGCGGCCAGGUAGGUCGGUUGUGAAAACUGGAGGCUCAACCUUCAGAGGUCGACCGAAACCAUCUGGCUAGAGUCCGGGAGAGGAGAGUGGAAUUCCUGGUGUAGCGGUGAAAUGCGCAGAUAUCAGGAGGAACACCGGUGGCGAAGGCGGUUCUCUGGGCAUUACCUGACGCUGAGGAGCGAAAGUGUGGGGAGCGAACAGG